CCGCCUAGGGGCCGUUCUGGGGGCAUCUUACUUGGUGUGAAUACAAGGAAUAUGGAUGUGUUGGCUAGUUCGGAUGGUGAGUAUAAUAUUAAACUCCAUAUCCGCAACAAGGCCGACAACUUCAGAUGGACCCUCGUCGCUGUGUAUGGUGCUACCCAGGAUGAAUUCAAGGCCUACUUUCUUUGUGAACUGGUUAAUCUAGUGAAAGAUAAUCCCCAUCCUAUUCUGAUAGGUGGUGAUUUUAAUUUUCUAAGAUUCCCAAACAAGAAAAGUCGUGGUAGGUUUGAUAAUCAUUGGCCUUUCCCGUUCAAUGUUGUUAUUGACGGUCUUGAUCUGCGAGAGAUUUCCAUGAUUGGAAGACAUUUCACUUGGGUGAACAGUCUCCAUGAACCGGCAUACGAGAAAUUAGAUCGUGUGUUGAUUGAUACUCAAAUGUGA
rnacentral:rRNA from 1 species